rnacentral:rRNA from 1 species
GACGAACGCUGGCGGCGUGCUUAAUACAUGCAAGUCGAGCGAGGCCCAUCCGGUGGCAACACCGGGGAAGGCCGAGCGGCGAACGGGUGAGUAACACGUGAGCAACCUGCCCCGAAGUCUGGAAUAACAUCGGGAAACCGGUGCUAAUACCGGAUCGCCCCACCUGACCGCAUGAUCGGGUGAGGAAAGAUUUAUCGCUUCGGGAGGGGCUCGCGGCCUAUCAGCUAGUUGGUGGGGUAACGGCCUACCAAGGCGUCGACGGGUAGCUGGUCUGAGAGGACGACCAGCCACACUGGGACUGAGACACGGCCCAGACUCCUACGGGAGGCAGCAGUAGGGAAUCUUGCGCAAUGGGCUGAAGCCUGACGCAGCAACGCCGCGUGGGGAUGACGGCCUCGG